rnacentral:rRNA from 1 species
CCUACGGGUGGCUGCAGUGGGGAAUCUUCCGCAAUGGGCGAAAGCCUGACGGAGCAACGCCGCGUGAUGGAAUGAAGGCCUGCGGGUUGUAAAGAUCUGUUGACAGGGACGAAGAAGCAAUGCGAAGAGGUUUGUGUAUGACGGUACCUGGUGAGAAAGCUCCGGCUAACUACGGGCCAGCAGCCGCGGUAAUACGUAGGGAGCAAGCGUUGUCCGGAAUUACUGGGCGUCAAGGGCGAGUAGGUGGGCGCUUAAGUCAGGUGGGAAAACUCCGGGCUCAACCUGGAGCCUGCACUUGAAACUGGGUGUCUUGAGGGCAGGAGAGGCAAGUGCAAUUCCUAGUGUAGCGGU